rnacentral:rRNA from 1 species
UACGAAGGGGGCUAGCGUUGCUCGGAAUCACUGGGCGUAAAGCGCACGUAGGCGGAUUGUUAAGUCAGGGGUGAAAUCCUGGGGCUCAACUCCAGAACUGCCUUUGAUACUGAAGAUCUUGAGUUCGGGAGAGGUGAGUGGAACUGCGAGUGUAGAGGUGAAAUUCGUAGAUAUUCGCAAGAACACCAGUGGCGAAGGCGGCUCACUGGCCCGAUACUGACGCUGAGGCACGAAAGCGUGGGGAGCAAACAGG